AUUCCAGCUCCAAUAGCGUAUAUUAAAGUUGUUGCGGUUAAAAAGCUCGUAGUUGGAUUUCUGCUGAGGACGACUGGUCCGCCCCCUGGGUGAGCAUCUGGUUCGGCCUGGGCAUCUUCUUGGGGAACGUAUCUGCACUUGAUUGUGUGGUGCGGUAUCCAGGACUUUUACUUUGAGGAAAUUAGAGUGUUUCAAGCAGGCCCGCGCCUUGAAUACAUUAGCAUGGAAUAAUAAGAUAGGACUAUGGUACUAUUUUGUUGGUUUGUGCACCAUGGUAAUGAUUAAUAGAGACAGUUGGGGGUAUUCGUAUUCCAUCGUCAGAGGUGAAAUUCUUGGAUUUAUGGAAGACGAACUUCUGCGAAAGCAUUUGCCAAGGAUGUUUUCAUCG
rnacentral:rRNA from 1 species